rnacentral:rRNA from 1 species
AGAUUGAACGCUGGCGGCAGGCCUAACACAUGCAAGUCGAGCGCGAAAGUUCCUUCGGGAAUGAGUAGAGCGGCGGACGGUGAGUAACGCGUAGGAAUUUGCCCAGUAGUGGGGGACAACUCGGGGAAACUCGAGCUAAUACCGCAUACGCCCCAAGGGGGAAAGCAGGGGAUCUUCGGACCUUGCGCUAUUGGAUAAGCCUGCGUCGGAUUAGCUAGUUGGUGGGGUAAGGCCUACCAAGGCAACGAUCUGUAGCUGGUCUGAGAGGAUGGAUCG